rnacentral:rRNA from 1 species
GAUGAACGCUGGCGGCGUGCCUAAUACAUGCAAGUCGAGCGAACAGACGAGGAGCUUGCUCCUCUGACGUUAGCGGCGGACGGGUGAGUAACACGUGGAUAACCUUCCUAUAAGACUGGGAUAACUUCGGGAAACCGGAGCUAAUACCGGAUAAUAUAUUGAACCGCAUGGUUCAAUAGUGAAAGACGGUUUUGCUGUCACUUAUAGAUGGAUCCGCGCCGCAUUAGCUAGUUGGUAAGGUAACGGCUUACCAAGGCAACGAUGCGUAGCCGACCUGAGAGGGUGAUCGGCCACACUGGAACUGAGCCACGGUCCAGACUCCUACGGGAGGCAGCAGUAGGGAAUCUUCCGCAAUGGGCGAAAGCUUGACGGAGCAACGCCGCGUGAGUGAUGAAGGUCUUCGGAUCGUAAAACUCUGUUAUUAGGGAAGAACAAAUGUGUAAGUAACUAUGCACGUCUUGACGGUACCUAAUCAGAAAGCCACGGCUAACUACGUG